rnacentral:rRNA from 1 species
GACGAACGCUGGCGGCGUGCCUAAUACAUGCAAGUAGAACGCAGUUGAGAACGGGCGAGUAACGCGUUGGUAAAUGCAUCAUAGCGGGGGAUAAAUAUAGGAAAAGAUAGCUAAUACCGCAUACUGCAAGAUGGGACUGCGUUGUAUUAGCUAGUUGGUGAGGUUACGGCCAACCAAGGCGACGAUACAUAGACGACCAGUGAGGGUGAUCGGCCACACUGGGACUGAGACACUGCCCAGACUCCUACGGGAGUCAGCAGUAGGGAAUCUUCGGCAAUGGACUGACGUCUGACCGAGCAACGCCGCGUGAGUGACGAAGUUUUUCGGUUCGUAAAGCUCUGUUGUUAGAGACGCGGUAACUAACCAGAAAGGGACGGCUAACUACGUGCCAGCAGCCGCGGUAAUAC